UACGUAGGCGGCUAGCGUUGUCCGGAUUUAUUGGGCGUAAAGAGCGCGCAGGCGGUCUAUCAAGUCAGAUGUGAAAUAUCCCGGCUUAACCGGGAGGGGUCAUUUGAAACUGGUAGACUAGAGUACAGCAGAGGAUAGCGGAAUUCCCGGUGUAGUGGUGAAAUGCGUAGAUAUCGGGAGGAACACCAGUGGCGAAGGCGGCUAUCUGGGCUGAAACUGACGCUGAGGCGCGAAGGCUAGGGGAGCAAACAGG
rnacentral:rRNA from 1 species